UACGGAGGGGGCUAGCGUUGUUCGGAAUUACUGGGCGUAAAGCGCACGUAGGCGGACUGGAAAGUUGGGGGUGAAAUCCCGGGGCUCAACCUCGGAACUGCCUUCAAAACUAUCAGUCUGGAGUUCGAGAGAGGUGAGUGGAAUACCGAGUGUAGAGGUGAAAUUCGUAGAUAUUCGGUGGAACACCAGUGGCGAAGGCGGCUCACUGGCUCCAUACUGACGCUGAGGUGCGAAAGCGUGGGAAGCAAAC
rnacentral:rRNA from 2 species